GAGGCUAAGCAAAUAACUUAUAACAUAGCUAACAGUCUCAAGGGCAGGGGGGUUGUUAUCGGGGAGAAGACGCCGCCAUGGACGAGGCGGAGGAGAUCCUUCUGAGUUCGCUGCGCAGUUCCGGCGUUUCGCUUCCUUCGGGCCUCUCCGCCUCCUCCUCUUCGAUCAAAGGUCUCUCCCCCGACGCCCUCGUCUCCGUCUGCGCUCAAUCUCUUCGCCUAAUCCGUGGCGCCGCCUCGGCGUCCCUCCCGACCUCGAUCCCGGAUGCCGCCGCGGAGCGGUUCAAGGUUUGCGCGGAUGUUGCCGCGGUCAUCAAGUCGAUCGGAUAUAAAGACGAUCUCAGCUUCCACCAGUUUCUAUAUCCAACAAAUGAGGAAUCGUACAAGUUGCUGAGGUUUUUAGUGGAGAGGCUAUCUGAAUCAAUUUUGAAUACAGGUGCAUCAGAUGAUACAACAACCAGUCAUGCUUCUGACAGCACCUUAGCUAGUGGUGAUAGUUCUAACGAUACAUCAAAAUUGCUUACAGAGUGGCCUAAUAAAAUGUAUGAGAGUCAAGAUUUACAUGAUUUUCCAUGUACUUCCGGAAGAUCAUACAAAGAAUUACGGGAGAUAUCUGAUAUAGAUGUUACAGAAGUAAACACACAUGGGUUGCUUGGUGCUAGUGCAGUUCCAGGGCCACUGGAAGAGUCAGAUGAUGCAGGAUCGUUAUACGGGCAUCGGAAAUGUGAUAUAGAGAUUCAUUGCAAGGAGGGAAAUGUUGGAUAUGUUUCAGAACAACCAAGGAAUUCCACAGAGGUAUGUGCCAAUAAAGAGCAUACUGUGCAGGAAGAUAGUGAAUGUAUUGUUGAACUUGAACAGACACUGGCUUCUCUCCGGUUGGAAAAAUUGAAGCUAAGAAAUGAGACUGAGUGUUUGAAAGAUCAAGAGAAGUCAUUGAAGGAGAAAACACAGUCUAAAGUCUUCGAAAUUCAGGGUCUAGAAGCUGAGUAUGAGCUCCUAAAAGCAGCUGUGAAAAUGGCAUUUGAUGAUCAACAUUCUAUUGAGCUCUGUUUGAAAGAGCUCAAUGAGCAAGCAGAAGCAAGAAGGGGCAAUCUUGUGAAACUGGAAAUGCAAUGGAAUGCACUAAAAGGAACAGCAGAAGUGAGACCACUAUUGCUUGAGCAGUCGAUGCAUGCUCAAAAACCUGAACUGCAAGAAAGGCUUUUGAAAUUAAAAGAAAUUAAACAAGUGACAGAGGCCACAAUGUCAGAAAUUCACAGAAGGGAGGUUGAACAUGCUGAACUAAUUGUCGAGCUUGAUAAAUUGCCAAAAGUUCCUUCUAGAAAAUAUUACAUUGAUCGUGUGACUGAAAUAACAAAGAACAGCUGGAAACAAGACACUGACCUUCAUCGAAUAUUAAAGGAGAUUCGAGAAGUUCAGCUAGAGAGUAAUUCCAUACAGGAAAGGCUUCACAGGACAUAUGCUGUGGUUGAAGAAACAGUUUUCAGGGAUGCAAAAAAUGAUCCAGUCGGGCGACAGGCAUAUAGGCUUCUAACUAGCAUCCACGAUAUCUUUGAACAAAUCGUGGAGAAGAUUCGUUCAACUGACAAAGCUAGAAAGGAAGGUGCUGAGCAAGAGAAGAAGCUUGCAGCCAUUUCCUCCCGUAAUUUUGACAUUCAGAAACUCCAAGCAGAUCUUGAUUCUAUCAGGAAGGAAAAUGAAUUACUAGAGCAGCAACUUUACCACAAUUAGUCAGCAAACUUUUCAUGCAUCAUGUCAGGUUCACUGUAUGCUCCCAGGUGAUGUUUGCUCUUGCUCCAUGAGAAAACUAAAGAUAUUGAGAACCUGUCGCCUUGCAGCAGCAGCAGCCGGAGCAGGUGUGUCAGAUUUAGAAGGUUUGGACAACCCAAGUGGGUUGUUGGAUCAGUUCGUCUUUGCUUGUGAUAGCGGUGUGAUAUAUAUAUAUAUAUAUAUAUAUAUAUAUAUAUAUAUAUAUAUAUAUAUAUGAUUGUUGGAUCAGUUCUUGUCUUUGCUUGUGAUAGCGGUGUGAUAUAUAUAUAUAUAUAUAUAUAUAUAUAUAUAUAUAUAUAUAUAUAUAUAUAUAUAUAUAUAUAUAUAUAUUUCUGCAAAUUAAAGUGGUUAAGAUGAGAUACAAUCUCAGGCCAACUUAAGAUAUGAGUCUGGUACACUAUGACCAGCGGAAUUAUGCUAGUGAUGGUCCCUGUUGGCUCAAAAGCUUCUGUGAAUGUAAGAAAGAGCAUGUAGCUUGUCAGUCUCUAAUGGAAGUAUUGUUCUGAUGUGUCGCCAAUCA